AACGAACGCUGGCGGCAGGCUUAACACAUGCAAGUCGAACGCCCGUAGCAAUACGGGAGUGGCGGACGGGUGAGUAACGCGUGGGAACGUGCCCUGAGGUACGGAAUAACUGCGGGAAACUGCAGCUAAUACCGUAUGAGCCCCGCAAGGGGGAAAGAUUUAUCGCCUUAGGAGCGGCCCGCGUCGGAUUAGCUAGUUGGUGGGGUAACGGCUUACCAAGGCUUCGAUCCGUAGCUGGUCCGAGAGGACGAUCAGCCACACUGGGACUGAGACACGGCCCAGACUCCUACGGGAGGCAGCAGUGGGGAAUCUUGCGCAAUGGGGGCAACCCUGACGCAGCCAUGCCGCGUGAAUGAUGAAGGCCUUAGGGUUGUAAAGUUCUUUUGCCCGUGACGAUGAUGACGGUAACGGGAGAAUAAGCUCCGGCUAACUUCGUGCCAGCAGCCGCGGUAAAAC
rnacentral:rRNA from 1 species